CCGCGUGAGUGAAGAAGGUCUUAGGAUUGUAAAGCUCUUUCGCCCGUGACGAUGAUGACGGUAACGGGAGAAGAAGCCCCGGCUAACUUCGUGC
rnacentral:rRNA from 1 species